CCUCAUCAGCUGAUUGGAAGGAAUUCCUUCCAAUUGAUGAGGUUGUUAUAAACCUCAUUGAUUGGAAGUCAAUGAGGGUAACAACCUCAUCAAUUGGAAGGCAUUCCUUCCAAUCAGCGAGGGAGU
rnacentral:miRNA from 1 species